GCAAUCGGCCAUACUACAUCGAAUAUACCGGAUCCCAUCAGAACUCCGAAGUCAAGCGGUGUAAGGUUCGGUUAGUACUAGGGUGGGGGACCACCUGGGAAGACCAGAAUGUCGAUCGCCUCCC
rnacentral:rRNA from 1 species